UGGGGAAUUUUGGACAAUGGGGGCAACCCUGAUCCAGCCAUGCCGCGUGUGUGAAGAAGGCCUUCGGGUUGUAAAGCACUUUCGGACGGAACGAAAUCGCGCGGGCGAAUAUCCCGCGUGGAUGACGGUACCGUAAGAAGAAGCACCGGCUAACUACGUGCCAGCAGCCGCGGUAAUACGUAGGGUGCGAGCGCUAAUCGGAAUUACUGGGCGUAAAGUGUGCGCAGGCGGCAGAGCAAGUCGAGUGUGAAAGCCCCGGGCUUAACUUGGGAAUUGCGCUCGAAACUACCUUGCUGGAGUGUGGCAGAGGAAGGUGGAAUUCCACGUGUAGCGGUGAAAUGCGUAGAGAUGUGGAGGAACACCAAUGGCGAAGGCAGCCUUCUGGGCCAACACUGACGCUCAUGCACGAAAGCGUGGGGAGCAAAC
rnacentral:rRNA from 1 species